rnacentral:lncRNA from 1 species
AUGGUCCAGAUGUCGCUGACAAAGGAGGAGUACAGCUGGUUUUCCGACUUCCUCAAAUUCAAGCACUGUCUCUUAGGGGGAAAGAAGGCCCAGCACUUCUUUUUCAAUUCAACAAACACUCAGAUGAAGAACCUGCCUGCCUACCUGAGGGAGGUGUGGAAGGAGAUGGGUCUGCCCGAAUGUCCUUCAUUCACUGACCUGAGGACCUCCAUUGUCACUCAUGUAAAAAACAUGCUCCCAAAGGUUGACAGGGAAAGGGUGGCCAACUUCAUGUGCCACAACAUCCAGACGGCAGACAAAUAUUAUGCCAUGAAUUUAAAUCCAACCCAAGCAAAUGAAACCAGGGCACUCUUUGAGGCUGCACUGAAGGGGGAAGAUAACACAGUCGCCGCAGAGAACCAGCCCUCCACCUCAGGAGAAAGAAAGCAGAAGGUGAGAGAGGAUGCCUCCCUCUCCGACGGGAGCACCACCCCUGAAGAGACCAAGGUGAUGUACCAGGAGUCUGGCACGUCCGCCGGUGACUCGGAAGAGGAGGAAGAGGAUGAAGAUGAGGAACAGAUGGCCAGACAACUUCCAGUAAGAUCAGCUAUUCUGACAGGACACAUUUGAUUAUCAAAAUGUACUUGUAAACUAUGUAACAGUCAAGUGUGAAUUCUGAGAUAUAUCUAAU